ACCUUACCUGCCUUUGGGGAUCUUAUAGUUCAAUGGGAGGUUCAGAGAGGAACACUGAUCAUUUCAUUACUGGAUUUGCAAGUUAACUGAGAGGUAUGGAAAGCUCUUGCCUCUACUUGGGGAUGAACCAGCCCAUUCAUGGGACAUAUCAAGACCAAAAAGAAUAAUUCAUCAACAAUAAGGAGACUUUGAUGUGUAAAUAGAAGCAAACAGUUAAAACCAGCAUUCAAUAAUUUAAACCUUAAAAUCUUACCAAAGAAGACUUGGACUAUCCAAAAG